GGAUAAUCUACCCUUAGGACCGGGGUAACCCUGGGAAACUGGGGCUAAUACUGGAUAGGCAAUUUUUCCUGCAAUGGUUUUUUGUUUAAAUGUUUUUUCGCCUAAGGAUGAGUCUGCGGCCGAUUAGGUAGUUGGUUAGGUAAUGGCUUACCAAGCCGUUGAUCGGUACGGGUUGUGAGAGCAAGAGCCCGGAGAUGGAACCUGAGACAAGGUUCCAGGCCCUACGGGGUGCAGCAGGCGCGAAACCUCCGCAAUGUGAGAAAUCGCGACGGGGGGAUCCCAAGUGCCAUUCUUAACGGGAUGGCUUUUCAUUAGUGUAAAGAGCUUUUGGAAUAAGAGCUGGGCAAGACCGGUGCCAGCCGCCGCGGUAACACCGGCAGCUCUAGUGGUAACAAUUUUUAUUGGGCCUAAAGCGUCCGUAGCCGGUUUAAUAAGUCUCUGGUGAAAUCCUGUAGCUUAACUGUGGGAAUUGCUGGAGAUACUAUUAGACUUGAGACCGGGAGAGGUUAGAGGUACUCCCAGGGUAGAGGUGAAAUUCUGUAAUCCUGGGAGGACCGCCUGUUGCGAAGGCGUCUAACUGGAACGGUUCUGACGGUGAGGGACGAAAGUUAGGGGCGCGAACCGGAUUAGAUACCCGGGUAGUCCUAACUGUAAACGAUGCGGACUUGGUGUUGGGGUGGCUUUGAGCUGCUCCAGUGCCGAAGGGAAGCUGUUAAGUCCGCCGCCUGGGAAGUACGGUCGCAAGACUGAAACUUAA
rnacentral:rRNA from 1 species